ensembl:lncRNA
ACACUUCAGGUGAUAUACUCUGCCUGAGAGAUAGCUAAGAGAGCAAUGUACCCAUCAAAAUGGGAAAUCAACCAUGGCCACUAAAUUUUUCAGUUCUCAAAGAUUAAAACAAAAUAAAAAUCCAAUUUGCCCAGAGGAAUUUUAAGUCCUUAGAAGAAACCAAAGUCAUUAUAUUCAAACGACCGAAACCGUUCAGUGGCUUUCCUGCUGGCAGGAGCAAACUUUCAGACAUCAGACCACCUGGGAAGUGCCAUGGAGCUUGGACAUGACCAGAGGCCCGCGCCACCCAUCCACAUCGCAGCCUUGCCCCUUGAAGUCAGAAGACUCAUGUGAGAUUGUACCCUUACUCUCUGCCUUCUCCAAUAAAGUCUAACACUUGCAGGAGACACCCCAGGAGACCCUUACUCCUGGUGGCUCCAGAGCCAGAAGGCACAAAGGACGUGCUAUUUUUCAUACCCUGUGAUUUUACUGCCA